UUUCCCUCUUUCUUAUCCUCUCUCCCUCCCUCCUCCUCUCCCUCUUUUCACUUUCUCCUCUCCCUCUUCCCUCCCUCCUUUGUCUUUCCCUCUCACACCACACACACAUCCCUACACAAUCUAUGCUUUUCUAUAGUCUUGGGAUAAAAACGGGUAUACAUUGAAGCACAAGAGUCCAUUAACCAAAAAGCUCUGCCCUGCUGCCAAGGUUUUAAAUUUUCACCGCAGCUACAGACCAUGCAUUUGAGCUAUGGAAAACUGCCUUUAUCUCUAUGAGAUCAUUUUGGCGCGCUGUUGUGCGUCAGGAGCCAUUUUCUUUCACUGGUAUCUGUUAGCCCGGUGGGGGAGGGUCAGCAGUGGAACUUCAAAGGUAAGAAAAAGGAGGCUUGGGUAUUUAUGAUUAGAGAUUGCCCCCGGGAUUUUUACCAGGCAAGGCGAGUGGUCAUUUAAUUAGGAGAGGCAAUGUAAGCAUCUCUGUUACUGAUCUUUGUACAGAUGCCUUCUUAGUACUAUGAAUAUCGGGCGACAGAAGGAGAGGAAAGGACUAAGACCUUUGAUGAAGGGAAACAUGCCGGCUCUGGGAGGCAAGAUACCUUCCCUUAUAUGAACAUUUCUGGUAUAUUUCCUACAGAACACAAUUCCUGCAGCAUGCCCAAUCCCUUUAGUCUCAGGACUCCUUUACCCUCUUUGAAAUCGAGGACCCGAAAGACAGCUUUGAAGUCCAGAAGUCAGUCUUUUACCUUUAGUAUUUUAACCCCGAUGUACCUAAUAGAGUGUCUUGACCGAAACAGAGGCUUUCAGAAGGCUCACUGAUGAAUUAGUUCCUGGGAUUCUGCCCCUCUCCACUAGAAAUGGAAGCUAGCGGCCCAUAGGUCUUUGAGCUUGCUCCUUUAGGCAAUAGGGAUGGUUGGCUUGGAAGCAGAACAUCUUUACCCUGGAGGCUGUGUCGGGAUCUGGAUUUCUGAAAUUUCAAAGGCACGAGUAGGAAUGAAAUUUCCUCUUUGUACUGGUGAUCCAGCAGCCAUAGCAGGAACUAACCCUUGGGGGCCCGAUCAGAGUUUGCUUGUUUGUUUCAAGAGAGGAGAUCUAAGACUACCACUCCCAGGAUUAUGUCCCCAAAAAAGUAAGAAAGGAGAUGAAAAGAAAAAGAAGGAAAAGAAAAGAAGAAGAAGAAAAGAAAAGAACUCUUGGACUAAAAUAUUUUCAGCCAACUAUGUUUUUAGUGGCAAAGACCUUGAAAUUAAGGGGUUGCCCAUCAAUUGUGGAAUGUUGAACAAAUUAUGGUUUACAAGUUUUCCUCCUUUUUUCAAUGGGCAUUUACCAUCUGUUAACCCAUAAAAGGGUUUAUGAAUAUAUCUUCCUAGCUAGUACGGAGUUUUUAAAGUUUUUCAGUUUGUAAUGAUGCCUAAUAGUUUCUAUUAUAAUGGGGAAAGGGUUCAUGAGGACCCAGACAGUAUUAGCUUGUGUGGAGAUCUCAGCUUAAUACACAUCCCCUUCCACCAAAUGCAAGAUCAUUAAAGAGAAUCUUUCUGUAAUUUCUAAUGGUGAUGGCCUAAAUCUAAAUCAGCAUCAAAACCCACUCCAUUUCUUCUUCUUUUACUUUUUUAAAACCCUUACCCUCUGUCUUAAUAAAAUUUCUAAGACAGGAGAGCA
ensembl:lncRNA